rnacentral:rRNA from 1 species
UACGGGGGGGGCAAGCGUUGUUCGGAAUUACUGGGCGUAAAGGGCUCGUAGGUGGCCAACUAAGUCAGACGUGAAAUCCCCAGGCUCAACUUGGGAACUGCGUCUGAUACUGGAUGGCUUGAAUUCGGGAGAGGGAUGCAGAAUUCCAGGUGUAGCGGUGAAAUGCGUAGAUAUCUGGAGGAAUACCGGCGGCGAAGGCGGCAUCCUGGACCGAGAUUGACACUGAUGAGCGAAAGCUAGGGGAGCAAACGGG